rnacentral:lncRNA from 1 species
UGCCUGCAAAUUAUAUCAAAAGAAAAGUAGAUCUUGAAAUAAAAUUAAAACUUUCAUGACUUAAAUGUCGGCAGACAACAAUACAGAAAAAACUAGAGAAUACGAAAUUGUAAUAUAAUUUGCCAGUGAAUACAUCAAGCAUCUUUACACCAUUCAUGAACAUAUGAAAUGAGCAUAAACAAUACUACAAUAUAUGUAUUUACUCCAGUUGCUUGGAACAUUGCAUCCGUCCUGUUAUGCCCGAGUUCAAAUCCUUUGGUUUUUCAUAAUUUAGACAAAUUUGUAAUAUCGUCUUAUCAAGCAAGAAGAGUGUAGAGAGGGUUUGCCUGCAUGAACAAAUAGUUCCCACCAAACAAGUCAUUCAUGUGAGCCUGCCCAUGCUUCAGUCUCUUCAAAGCUUUGCUCCAUGAAACUUUAAUCCUAGUGAAAAUCCUAGCUCUUUUCCUCAGGAACCUUCUCAAGCCCUGAAUCCGAACCCUUGGCCGCCUUCGCCCGGUUAGCUUACUGAUCUUGGACCAACCCCUUAUGUUCUUGAAUUUAAUUGCUGUGUUUUGCUGAUCUGUUUUUUCAUCAAACAGACCUUCGUUUCUCAGUCUUUGGUAAGCAAGUUGUGAGAUCGAUGCCAUUUCGAAGUAGAAAAGGUUUAGAGCUAGAUGGAGUCAGCUUUUUGUUUUUUUUCUUUCUGUGGAUUUAGAUGUCUCUCAAAUGAUGUAAGUGACAAAUUUAAAGUGAAGAAAGUAGUUUGCAAUGAAUGCAGCUGAAAUAUUUGGUAAUGGUAGUUUAAACUCUGAUAAUUUAAGGUUCCUAG